rnacentral:rRNA from 1 species
GACGAACGCUGGCGGCGUGCCUAAUACAUGCAAGUAGAACGCUGAAGAGAGGAGCUUGCUCUUCUUGGCUGAGUUGCGAACGGGUGAGUAACGCGUAGGUAACCUGCCUUGUAGCGGGGGAUAACUAUUGGAAACGAUAGCUAAUACCGCAUAACAAUGGAUGACACAUGUCAUUUAUUUGAAAGGGGCAAUUGCUCCACUACAAGAUGGACCUGCGUUGUAUUAGCUAGUAGGUGAGGUAAUGGCUCACCUAGGCGACGAUACAUAGCCGACCUGAGAGGGUGAUCGGCCACACUGGGACUGAGACACGGCCCAGACUCCUACGGGAGGCAGCAGUAGGGAAUCUUCGGCAAUGGGGGCAACCCUGAUCGAGCAACGCCGCGUGAGUGAAGAAGGUUUUCGGAUCGUAAAGCUCUGUUGUAAGUCAAGAACGGGUGUGAGAGUGGAAAGUUCACACUGUGACGGUAGCUUACCAGAAAGGGACGGCUAACUACGUG